rnacentral:rRNA from 1 species
AGAGCGAACGCUGGCGGCAGGCUUAACACAUGCAAGUCGAGCGCCCCGCAAGGGGAGCGGCAGACGGGUGAGUAACGCGUGGGAACGUACCUUUGGUUCGGAACAACACAGGGAAACUUGUGCUAAUACCGGAUAAGCCCUUACGGGGAAAGAUUUAUCGCCGAAAGAUCGGCCCGCGUCUGAUUAGCUAGUUGGUGAGGUAACGGCUUACCAAGGCGACGAUCAGUAGCUGGUCUGAGAGGAUGAUCAGCCACAUUGGGACUGAGACACGGCCCAAACUCCUACGGGAGGCAGCAGUGGGGAAUAUUGGACAAUGGGGGCAACCCUGAUCCAGCCAUGCCGCGUGAGUGAUGAAGGCCCUAGGGUUGUAAAGCUCUUUUAACGGGGAAGAUAAUGACGGUACCCGUAGAAUAAGCCCCGGCUAACUUCGUACCAGCAGCCGC